rnacentral:tRNA from 1 species
CCUGAUGGCUCAGUUGGUAAAGAAACUGCCUGCAAUGCAGGAGACCCCGGUUCGAUUCCUGGGUCAGGA